AACAAAUAGAUUGUAAGUAUGCAUUACGAGAGUAUCCACUUGCAUUUCAGGUAUUUUAUUAAUAUUUUUUUCUUUUGUUGACUUCAUUUAUUUGUAAGAGAAAAAUAAUUGUAAUUUGUAAUUGCGAUACAGUAUUGGAUUUAUGAGGCAUUUCCAGGAAUUGGAAAAAAAUUUGGACGGCGUCGAUACAAAACAGCACAGAGUCCACGAAUGUAUAAGUGGAGUCCUAAUAAACUGCUGACUGAAAAAAUGAUUAAGCAUUUUCUGGCUACUCGAGA
rnacentral:lncRNA from 1 species